rnacentral:rRNA from 1 species
CCUACGGGAGGCAGCAGUGAGGAAUAUUGGUCAAUGGACGAGAGUCUGAACCAGCCACGUAGCGUGAAGGAUGACUGCCCUAUGGGUUGUAACCUUCUUUUAUAUGGAAAUAAAACGUUCCACGUGUGGGAUUUUGUAUGUACCAUAUGAAUAAGGAUCGGCUAACUCCGUGCCAGCAUCCGCGGUAAUACGGAGGAUCCGAGCGUUAUCCGGAUUUAUUGGGGUUAAAGGGAGCGUAGGUGGAUUGUUAAGUCAGUUGUGAAAGUUUGCGGCUCAACCGUAAAAGUGCAGUUGAAACUGGUAGUCUUGAGUACAGUAGAGGUGGGCGGAAUGCGUGGUGUAGCGGUGAAAUGCUUAGAUAUCACGAAGAACUCCGAUUGCGAAGGCAGUUCACUGGACGGCAACUGACACUGAGGCGCGAAAGUGUGGGUAUCAAACAGGAUUAGAUACCCCAGUAGUC